rnacentral:rRNA from 1 species
UAAUACGGAGGGUGCGAGCGUUAUCCGGAAUCACUGGGUUUAAAGGGUGCGUAGGCGGCGAGGUAAGUCAGUUGUGAAAUUCCCCGGCUCAACCGGCGGGACUGCGAUUGAUACUGCUUUGCUUGAAACAGGUUGAGGUAAGCGGAAUGUGGCAUGUAGCGGUGAAAUGCAUAGAUAUGCCAUAGAACACCGAUUGCGAAGGCAGCUUGCUGGGCCUGAUUUGACGCUGAGGCACGAAAGCGUGGGGAGCAAACAGGAUUAGAUACCCUGGUAGUCCACGCCCUAAACGAUGUUUACUUGCUGUUCCUGGCUAGACUGGGAGUGGCGAAGCGAAAGCGCUAAGUAAACCACCUGGGGAGUACGCCGGCAACGGUGAAACUUAAAGGAAUUGACGG